AGAGUUUGAUCAUGGCUCAGGACGGACGCUGGCGGCGUGCUUAACACAUGCAAGUCGAACGGAAAGGCCCUUCGGGGUACUCGAGUGGCGAACGGGUGAGUAACACGUGGGUGAUCUGCCCUGCACUUUGGGAUAAGCCUGGGAAACUGGGUCUAAUACCGAAUAGGACCACGCGCUUCAUGGUGUGUGGUGGAAAGCUUUUGCGGUGUGGGAUGGGCCCGCGGCCUAUCAGCUUGUUGGUGGGGUAAUGGCCUACCAAGGCGACGACGGGUAGCCGGCCUGAGAGGGUGACCGGCCACACUGGGACUGAGAUACGGCCCAGACUCCUACGGGAGGCAGCAGUGGGGAAUAUUGCACAAUGGGCGCAAGCCUGAUGCAGCGACGCCGCGUGAGGGAUGACGGCCUUCGGGUUGUAAACCUCUUUCAAUAGGGACGAAGCGCAAGUGACGGUACCUAUAGAAGAAGCACCGGCCAACUACGUGCCAGCAGCCGCGGUAAUACGUAGGGUGCGAGCGUUGUCCGGAAUUACUGGGCGUAAAGAGCUCGUAGGUGGUUUGUCGCGUUGUUCGUGAAAACUCACAGCUUAACUGUGGGCGUGCGGGCGAUACGGGCAGACUAGAGUACUGCAGGGGAGACUGGAAUUCCUGGUGUAGCGGUGGAAUGCGCAGAUAUCAGGAGGAACACCGGUGGCGAAGGCGGGUCUCUGGGCAGUAACUGACGCUGAGGAGCGAAAGCGUGGGGAGCGAACAGGAUUAGAUACCCCGGUAGUCCAA
rnacentral:rRNA from 1 species